rnacentral:rRNA from 1 species
AGUGGGGAAUCUUGGACAAUGGGGGCAACCCUGAUCCAGCCAUGCCGCGUGAGUGAUGAAGGCCUUAGGGUCGUAAAGCUCUUUCGCCUGUGAAGAUAAUGACGGUAGCAGGUAAAGAAACCCCGGCUAACUCCGUGCCAGCAGCCGCGGUAAUACGGAGGGGGUUAGCGUUGUUCGGAAUUACUGGGCGUAAAGCGCACGUAGGCGGACUGGAAAGUUGGGGGUGAAAUCCCAGGGCUCAACCCUGGAACUGCCUCCAAAACUAUCAGUCUAGAGUUCGAGAGAGGUGAGUGGAAUUCCGAGUGUAGAGGUGAAAUUCGUAGAUAUUCGGAGGAACACCAGUGGCGAAGGCGGCUCACUGGCUCGAUACUGACGCUGAGGUGCGAAAGUGUGGGGAGCAAA